UGUUUCGGCUAGGGGGUCAUCCCGACUUACCAACCCGAUGCAAACUACGAAUACCGAAGAAUGUUAUCACGGGAGACACACGGCGGGUGCUAACGUCCGUCGUGAAGAGGGAAACAACCCAGACCGCCAGCUAAGGUCCCAAAGUCAUGGUUAAGUGGGAAACGAUGUGGGAAGGCACAGACAGCCAGGAUGUUGGCUUAGAAGCAGCCAUCAUUUAAAGAAAGCGUAAUAGCUCACUGGUCGAGUCGGCCUGCGCGGAAGAUGUAACGGGGCUAAACCAUGCACCGAAGCUGCGGCAGCGACACUAUGUGUUGUUGGGUAGGGGAGCGUUCUGUAAGCCGUUGAAGGUGGCCUGUGAGGGUUGCUGGAGGUAUCAGAAGUGCGAAUGCUGACAUAAGUAACGAUAAAGCGGGUGAAAAGCCCGCUCGCCGGAAGACCAAGGGUUCCUGUCCAACGUUAAUCGGGGCAGGGUGAGUCGACCCCUAAGGCGAGGCCGAAAGGCGUAGUCGAUGGGAAACAGGUU
rnacentral:rRNA from 1 species